GAGAACAGAGAGUCUUAUUGAAGACCUCCCUUUGAAAGUGUCAAGUGUACAACCUUUAGACUCUGAUAUUUUACCUUAAACUUCUGAUUUUCAGUGCUUCUAUUUGCAUUUACAUUGUAGUUCACAAUUAACAAAACUAUUAUUAGUAUUUUUUUCCAGCUUCUAAUGAAAAAUUUGAAUCUUUGAGACUUAAUAAAUAUGUUCCAUCGUGCAUUCAACCUCUGGAAGUCAUGAUUUAGUAUGGUAAAGAUUAUGAUUUUGAUGCUCCAGUGAAGCUCCUAGAGAAAUAUCUACAUGCUAUGGCACAAUCUAUUGAUGAGUAACUUGUUGUUGUUUCUCAGGUCUUGGCUUCUUAAUCAAUGGUUGAUUUGAAAUGCUUACCCCUUCUCUUUUUGGAUUCAUAUAGGUUCUUGCUUUCAAUGGUAAGCCUAUGAAGAAUCUGAAGGGCUUGGCCACCAUGGUUGAGAACUGUGAUGAUGAGUUUCUAAAGUUUGAUCUGGAAUACCAAUAGAUUAAAUGUACUCGCUUUAGUCCUUGUAAUAUUUAUGUUUCAACACUUUAGUUUGUAAAAAUAUAUUAGUUCUAA